AGUGAACGCUGGCGGUAGGCCUAACACAUGCAAGUCGAACGACAGCACAGUAAGAGCUUUCUCUUACGGGUGACUAGCGGCUGACGGGUGAGGCAUACAGUGGAAUCUACUUUUCCGUGGGGGGGAACGUAGGGAAACUUACGCUAAUACCGCAUACGACCUACGGGGGAAUGCAGGCGAUCUUCGGACCUUGCGCUCUUUAAUGAGCCGAGGUCGGUAUAGCCAGUUGAAGGGGUAAAGGCCCACCAGGGCGGCGAACCGUAGCUGGUCUGAGAGGAUGAUCAGCGACACUGGAACUGAGAAACGGUCCAGACUCAUACGGGAGGCAGCUAUGGGGAGUAGUGGACAAUGGGCGUAAGCCAGAUACAGCCAUCUCGCGUGGGUGAAGAAGGCCUUCGGUUAGUAAAGCCCUUUUGUUGGGAAAGAAAAGCAGCACGUUAAAACCGCGAUGUUCUGACGGUAACCAAAGAAUAAGCACCGGCUAACUUCGUG
rnacentral:rRNA from 1 species